AUGAGCAGAGUAUGCCCGAGGGAUCUGGGGGCGGGACUUACACUUGCGGAUGCGGGCGGCGGGGUAGCCGCACGAGGAGCAGGUGCUCUUCUGCAGGUGGAAGCUGCGGCGGCCGCAGCGGAUGCACAGCGUGUGGGUCUUGUUCCGGCGCUUGCCGAAGCUGCCCGUUCCCUUCGUCUGCGCGACAACAACAACAGCAAAGGAACAGUCAGGACCCCAGAUCUAUCUAGACGAGAAGGAGCGCCGCCGAGGGAGGAGGCUUCCGCCGGAGCAACUCACCAUUUCGCCUUCGCCUGUCGCCUCCGCGCCGCCUGCGCCGCCGCCGAGGGAAGAGGAGAGGAGGAAGAAGGGAGCACCAAAACCUAG
rnacentral:rRNA from 1 species